AUAGGGGAGCCGCAGGGAAACCGAGUCUUAACUGGGCGUUAAGUUGCAGGGUAUAGACCCGAAACCCGGUGAUCUAGCCAUGGGCAGGUUGAAGGUUGGGUAACACUAACUGGAGGACCGAACCGACUAAUGUUGAAAAAUUAGCGGAUGACCUGUGGCUGGGGGUGAAAGGCCAAUCAAACCGGGAGAUAGCUGGUUCUCCCCGAAAGCUAUUUAGGUAGCGCCUCGUGAACUCAUCUCCGGGGGUAGAGCACUGUUUCGGCUAGGGGGCCAUCCCGGCUUACCAACCCGAUGCAAACUGCGAAUACCGGAGAAUGUUAUCACGGGAGACACACGGCGGGUGCUAACGUCCGUCGUGAAGAGGGAAACAACCCAGACCGCCAGCUAAGGUCCCAAAGUCAUGGUUAAGUGGGAAACGAUGUGGGAAGGCCCAGACAGCCAGGAUGUUGGCUUAGAAGCAGCCAUCAUUUAAAGAAAGCGUAAUAGCUCACUGGUCGAGUCGGCCUGCGCGGAAGAUGUAACGGGGCUAAACCAUGCACCGAAGCUGCGGCAGCGACGCUUAGGCGUUGUUGGGUAGGGGAGCGUUCUGUAAGCCGUCGAAGGUG
rnacentral:rRNA from 1 species